rnacentral:rRNA from 1 species
GUGCCAGCCGCCGCGGUAAUACGGAGGGUGCGAGCGUUAAUCAGAAUUACUGGGCGUAAAGAGCUCGUAGGCGGUUGUUUAAGUCAGAUGUGAAAUCCCUGGGCUUAACCUAGGAACUGCAUUUGAAACUAAAAGACUAGAGUAUCGUAGAGGGAGGUAGAAUUCUAGGUGUAGCGGUGAAAUGCGUAGAUAUCUGGAGGAAUACCUGUGGCGAAAGCGGCCUCCUAAACGAAUACUGACGCUGAGGUGCGAAAGCAUGGGGAGCAAACAGGAUUAGAUACCCUGUAGUUCC